rnacentral:tRNA from 2 species
GCCCUGGUAGUAUAGUGGUAUCAUACAUCCUUCGGGUGGAUGUGACCCGCGUUCGAUUCGCGGCUAGGGCC